CAACCAACAAUAUUAUAAAUAAAUAACACAAUACACCUGUAUAUUAUAUUCCGCCAAUAUUAGCAGGUGUACAUGUACAUGUAUAUGUAUAGGAUAGGAGCAGUUAGUGUGUGGUUAGUGUCUAAUCAUUGGGUUACUAUAUUACACUAGGUCUAUAUGUUAAUGCUGGGGAAUAGAAUUUAGUUCAACUGGAGCAUAAAGCAUGAGUCUAAAGAUAUUUAAAGAGCUAAAGGAGAGUGGAUAUGGACCAGUGACAGUAUUCUAUUGUGGGUCACCAGUACUGGCUAGAGUAUUAUCAGUGAAGUCUCAAUAUUAUGGAUUUAAAUUUAGAAAAGAAAACUUUUAGACAUUAACAAUAAUAAUGUACUACAUGUAUAUACACUGAUGGACACUCUAAUUAUAAUACUGAUGUGUUGUUAAGUAAUAGUCAUUGUGUAUGGAAUGAUCCAAUUCAGUGAGUACAAUAACAUUAUUCAUGAUUAUUGAUGAUG